UCCUCAACAUGAAAAGGACAUGGAGCUGUUGGAACAAGUCCAGAGGAGGCCACAGGGAUGAUCAGGGACUGGAGCACCUCCUGUAUGAAGACAGGCUGAGAAAGUUGGGGCUGUUCAGCCUGGAGAAGAGAAGGCUGCGUGGAGACCUCAGAGCAGCUUCCAGUAUCUGAAGGGGGCCUACAAGGAUACUGGAGGGGGAUUCUUCAUCACAGACUGUAGUGAUAGGACAAUGGGUGAUGGGUUCAAACUGAAACGGGAUGUUCAGGUUGGAUAUAAGGAAGAACUCUUUACUGUGAGGGUGGUGAGGCACUGGCAAAGGCUGCCCGAAGAAGUCGUAAAUGCUCCAUCCCUGGCAGUGUUCAAGGCCAGGUUGGACAGAGCUUUUGGGUGAUAGGAUCUAGUGUAAGAUGUCUCUGCCUAUGGCAGAACGGUUGGAACUGGAUGAUCUUAAGGUCCUUUCCAACCCUUGGAACCCAAUUGUAUGAUUUUAUGUUCAAACAAGGGUGUGUGUUGAGGCUAAAGAUCUACCAGUGUUUUAAACUUAAUCUGGCCAAACCAAGCCUGCCAAACUUCACACUUGUUAGUAGAACUGCACAAGCUAGAAAACUCAAGACUCAUGCCAUGGAUUGCCUUCCCUUCAGUGUUACGACCUGCAUGCCCUAACCUUCCCUGUUCACCUGCCUGAAGCAGGACACACACACAUUCCAUGAUGUUGCAACCACUCCUGUUUUACGUUUCCACAGGUACUCACAGAGCAGCAGCACCAGAGAUGAUCUCAAUAAGCUCCUUGGUAAUGACGGCUUGGCGGGUACGGUUGAAAGUCAAGGUCAGUUUGUCAAUCAUUUCAGCUAGGAAAAAUCAAGAUUGGGAUUUAAGGAUGCAGUAACUAUUUAAAUACAGAUAGGGAGAAGGUGUAUGAAGGUGUUAUGAAGUAGUCUUAUAAAUCCAUGAAGGCAGUGAAGAGGCUUACUGCACUUUUCAUUUUUUCUCCUAUAGAUAACACUCAAUUUAGAAACUUGGCAAUUUGGCUUGAAACAUCAGAGUUAAACAUCUGAAGAAUAUCUGAUGGAUAGUAAACACCAUGGUAUGACACAGCUUAUUUUAACAUAAGCAUGCAUUAUUUGCCUUUAAAUUAGAUUUUACUGUCAAUUAACUACAUUGGGAUUUCCUUCAAGUUACUGUGGCUUUGGCAAAAGGAAACAGAUCUUUCUGAAGUGUUAUUUCUGCAUUUGUUUUUCUUGUAAACACAGGAGAUAUCACCUCUCUGUCAAGAUAAGGCUGUCAGCAGAGAGCCACACAUACAGUUCCAGAUAGCCCAACUGCUCAUCACACCAGCUCCGCUUGGUCAUGAGUGUCCUUCAGGCAACACUGCCCUUCUUAAAGCUGAAAUCUUCUCACAGCAUGCCACAUUAAAAGCUGUCUCCCACUAAUACCAAAUGCAUACACCAUGCUGCACCCAGCCUGGACACCUUCCAAGGAAUACUUGUGAGAAGGACACAGAGCUGUUGGAGCAAGUCUAGAGGAAGCCAUGAGGAUGAUCAGGGGCUGGAGCACCUCCCGUAUGGAGACAGGCUGAGAACAUUGGCACUGUUCAGCCUCGAGAAGAGAAGCGGUGUGAAGACCUCAGAGCAGCCUUCCAGCAUCUGAAGGGGGCCUACAAGGAUGCUCGCUCAAAGACUGACUCAAAAUGGAACUGAGAGAAGAAACCAGCUAGUUUCUUACUAUUUUGUACGCAAAGAAUUAUACAAAAGGAGGUCAGUACUCUCAUGCCAAACUCCUGAAGUCGUGGGAGACCCAUAGUGUGGACUUACAAGCAUUCUUGCUAGCGUUGUCCAUAGCAGUCAUCCUAGCACUCUGCUCGCUGGUGGUGGAUUCUUUCAGUGAGUAGUAGAGAAUAUUUGCUAGUGUAAAUUCCUGGUAGUUUCUCAACACAUCAGCAUCAAUAUCAUCAUAGAUACUUAGGCUUUCUGUAAAAUAGGGAAGAGCAGAUUGAAAGCAAGCUGAGAUACACUACUUCUAGCAAAACAAUACAACACCAUGCAAAAGGCUGCUAGGCCAGCCUGCUUCUCUACUUCAGGCAAUCCAGAGGGAUCUUCUCCACACAUUCUGUGUACUUUCAUAUUCUCUUUGCUAUUAAAAUUUUUGUUAAGU